ensembl:lncRNA
CACUCCUCUGGGAGCUCUUCUGUGGGCCCAGGACAUAGCCCACCAACCUCUGACUGCUCUCCAUCCACCAUCCUGUAGCAACUCUUCUGGGGAAGGCUAACAAAUCACUUCUGCGACUUGCUUCCACAUUAUGUCAAGUAUCUUACUUGGCCAGUUGGGAGUAUGCCAUAUUCCACUGGAAAUGCCAAAGAAGAACACAGGACUUGGACAGAGUAAACCUUUCGUAAUACACCACCAAGAAAUGUUUGGAGGUUCGAUCCUUGUGUUCAGCACAAAUCGUUUGUGCUGAAGAGACAGACUGAAUCUCGGACAAGAUGUCAGGCCAAAUCCUCUUUACAAGGGGGUUUAUCAUUGUAUAUUCAGUGUAAUGAGUAUCCACGGACAUCUGUCAAUGUAUUUUGUGUGGAAGGGGGAAAGAAAAAAACCUGAAUAUGCAUGUAAUUGUGGUGAUUUUAACCAUUAAUGUGGUGUCCAGAAAGCAUUCAGAAAAGGAACUGAAAACGCCACAAUAAACGGUGCUUCCUGAUGUGAUGUAUAACAACCCCAUCCAAGUGAAUUGCUUCUGAGUUUUCUCCAUUAAUCUUGCCUUGACUCUGAGUCUCUGUGCAAAACUACAAGUUCUUUGGCACAGGGACUGUGCCAGGGUUUACAGAACACCUUUUGCAAGAGGGUCGCAGUUAGAACUUGGCAGCAUGUGAGAAAUAAUGAAGAAAAGAAUUGG